rnacentral:lncRNA from 1 species
CUACGGACGUCGAUGUCAGGAGUAAGUAAUUUGUUGCUUCUUGUGCGGUGCAGAUGGACACAGUGAAGCGGAGUUUGGGAUGUCGUGGUGUGCAGGUUUCGGAGGAGCGUUCUACAAUGGCUACUUUGAGGUAUGCAUUAAGCAUUAUGAGGCUUGAUGAUCUAGAAUGGUUACCGAUUUGCUUGCUGGGGAAAUUGGGUUAUAGGUGAUGCCAAAGCAAGCA